GCAGUCGAGCGAAUGGAUUAAGAGCUUGCUCUUAUGAAGUUAGCGGCGGACGGGUGAGUAACACGUGGGUAACCUGCCCAUAAGACUGGGAUAACUCCGGGAAACCGGGGCUAAUACCGGAUAACAUUUUGAACCGCAUGGUUCGAAAUUGAAAGGCGGCUUCGGCUGUCACUUAUGGAUGGACCCGCGUCGCAUUAGCUAGUUGGUGAGGUAACGGCUCACCAAGGCAACGAUGCGUAGCCGACCUGAGAGGGUGAUCGGCCACACUGGGACUGAGACACGGCCCAGACUCCUACGGGAGGCAGCAGUAGGGAAUCUUCCGCAAUGGACGAAAGUCUGACGGAGCAACGCCGCGUGAGUGAUGAAGGCUUUCGGGUCGUAAAACUCUGUUGUUAGGGAAGAACAAG
rnacentral:rRNA from 1 species